rnacentral:rRNA from 1 species
CAGUCGCCGCGGUAAUACGAAGGGUGCAAGCGUUACUCGGAAUUACUGGGCGUAAAGCGUGCGUAGGUGGUGGUUUAAGUCCGUUGUGAAAGCCCUGGGCUCAACCUGGGAAUUGCAGUGGAUACUGGGUCACUAGAGUGUGGUAGAGGAUGGUGGAAUUCCCGGUGUAGCGGUGAAAUGCGUAGAGAUCGGGAGGAACAUCAGUGGCGAAGGCGGCCAUCUGGGACAACACUGACGCUGAGGCACGAAAGCGUGGGGAGCAAACAGGAUUAGAUACCCCGGUAGUCCCUGUCUCUUAUAC